UGCAGUGAGACUGUAAACAAAUCCCGUGCUCGCCUGUAUUUAAAGGAUGCUUUCUCUUAAUUUUUUAUUUCUUUCUUCCCUGUCUGAUUUCAGGAUGUUUUGCAAGGGUGAAAUGCUCUACGUGUUGUGGGACAUCGGGAAGUCUGAACAGAGCCCGGCACUCACAGGGGGCUGCCCCGAGCACUCUCCGGUUCCCCCCACUUUGGCUGGAGCAGAGCCUUGGAGGCAUCCAUCCAUACUGCUCAAACAGCCUUCAGGUUUUGCUGUUAUUUUAGAACAGGUGGGAGGUGAUGGAUUCCCCCAGACAGUUCUCCUUUCUGAGUGUCAUGUCUUCACACAAACACGCACCAUCAGUCCUCCAGCCUGGGGUGCCUGUGAUGCACUGAAAUAAUAUGCUCCAAGGAAGAGGAUAAUCUCCUACACUGUGGCUAUCUUGCUACUCCAGUGUUCUCAUGUCCUGACAGCGAUUGGCAAUAGAAUAAGAGUUACUGAGGAAUUAUUUGACAUCUUUGUGAAUUUGGUGCUCCAGUUGGACACAGUCAGCUGCGUGCUGAGACGAGACGCACAGAAUGGCUGAGAACUGCUAAAAUCUGAGCUUCCUUCAGAACUUACCUGAUGCUAUGCAGCUUUUACUGCACAACAUGCAUUUUAUAUAUCUAUCUAAUGAAAAACCUUUGAUAAGAGCAUGUUUCUGUGUUUUAGAGUGAUUAUGUAUGCGUGUUUUAUUGUUCCCAUAUAUAUGAAAUUCUUUGGAGAAGAUUGGCAUAGUUCCUACAGAUUCAGUCUUCUGAGGUGAGCAUACAACACAGAAAGCAAGUAUGGCAGAGCAGGAGGUUUGUCGUAACACUUUGUUAUAGCAUGUAUGUAUAUAUACAUACACAUAUAGUAUAUACGUUUGAAAGACUCAGUGACUCACACAGCCCUUUCUACUGCUCCACUGCUCUGUUUCAAGCACCCACCUGCAGCGUGAAUAACUCCAUGAAUGAUUGUUGCUAUAACUGUGAGUUCAGGUCACUGAGUUUGUGACAUGUAAGAUCUACCUUCAGUCUCUUAUAGGUAAUAAUUAUUUUUAUAUGGUAUAAAAAAGUAAUGUGAGGUUUGCUUCCUAUGUUUAUAUGACGUAUGAAAUUCUUGUGUAGACUGACCACUAUGACAAAAUAUUAUGAAUCACUUCAUUUACUGAUGAAAUGGAGAUCCUCAUGAUCAAUGACAAAAUGGAGGAGAAAGAAGAUCAUAUCUUCCAGAAACUUUUCUCUGGUGGGCACAACGUCAUUCCUCUGUUUGGAUUUUGCUAGGCCACCAAAUGUAAAGCCUGUGUGGUGGGUUGACCUUACCUGGCUGCCAGGCCGCCACCACACCAGUCUCUCACUCCCCUUUCUAUACAGGACAGAGGGAGAAAGUAAGAUGGAAAAGGUCAUGGGCUGAGAUAAAGACAGGGACAUUGCUCAUCAAUAACCAUCAUGGG